UACAGAGGGUGCAAGCGUUAAUCGGAUUUACUGGGCGUAAAGCGUGCGUAGGCGGCUCGCUAAGUCGGUUGUGAAAUCCCUGGGCUUAACCUGGGAACUGCAGUCGAUACUGGCGGACUAGAGUACGGUAGAGGGUGGCGGAACUCCGGGUGUAGCGGUGAAAUGCGUAGAUAUCCGGAAGAACACCGAUGGCGAAGGCAACCGCCUGGGCCUGUACUGACGCUGAGGUACGAAAGCGUGGGGAGCAAACAGG
rnacentral:rRNA from 1 species